ensembl:lncRNA RALY-AS1 RALY antisense RNA 1
UGAGAGCACGAGAAGCCCGUUGUCCUUCAUUCCUCAGCUAUGGAUUUCCCUGAAAGUUGAGAACUGACCAUAUUCUCGAUGCCUCCUCCGACCUGUGAUUUCAUGACUCACAUCGCUUCCCCAGAACCUGCUUAACAGACGGGAUUCCUGAGAAUGGAGCAGAGUUUGAAUUCAGAGUCCUGGCUUUGCCAUACCAGCAGUUAUAAUUGUCCUUCUGUUGUUUGAUGACCUCCCUGCCCUGCUUCAAAAGGAAGAGAAAUCAAAGAGUUGACGACCCUGAGCGCAAGGCCUGGGACGUUCUUCCCCAAACUCGCUUUAAUAUCACCUUCUCAAAAGAACUCUUCCCUGAACACCUUGUCUCAAGAUGUUCUCUAGUUUGUCUUCUUGUUCUGUCAUUUAUUUGUCUGUUCAUUGUUUGUGUGUUUUUUGAGGCGGAGUCUAGCUCUGUCGCCUAGGCUGGAGUGCAGUGGCACGAUCUCGGCUCUCUGCAACCUCUGCCUCCUGGGUUCAAAGCGAUUCUUGUACCUCAGCCUCCCAAGUAGCUGGGAUUACAGGCGUGUACCACCAUGCCCGGCUAAUUUUUGUAUUUUCAGUGGAUACGGGGUUUCAUCAUGUUGGCCAAGCUGGGCUCUAACUCCUGACCUCAGGGGAUCUGCAUUUGAGGAUAAACCCUGUCUUGGCUCCUCCCUGACGGGGGUGAGAAGUAGCCCUCCUGGAAUUGCCUCAAAGCCCCCGGUUAUCACCAGUGUUCUCGGUUGCAAAUUACGAAACAUAAAUAAACUCAGACUAACAGAUGCAGCAAAGGAAUUUAUCAGGAAGGAAUGGGGAGCUCCCAGAACUGAUGGGAAGGCUGGAGAACCAGGCUCAGAAAAUGCACUGAAGUGGUGAGCGCAGAGGCUUGAAUGUUGCCAGGACUCUCCUCCCAGUCCUUUAUCUCUUCUCUCUGUAUGCGAGCUUUUCUCCUCAAGGCUAGGCACCUGGCUGCAGCAGCGCUCACCACUCACAACUCUCACCCGUUCCACCGGAGAGAGACUGAGGAUUUCUGCUUCUGGUCUGAAGGACAAAAUUUUAGGGAAAAACUUUGAUUGGUCCAACAUAGAUGGAGAAAUGACAACUGGAGAGGGGAGUUCUACUGGAGAGGGGAGUUCACACAUAUACACUGAAAGCUGCCCAUCAAAAGAGUUGCAGAACCAGGACUACAGCCCUUGCAUCUUGACUGCCAGUACGAUGCAGGUUAAACUCUGUGUUUGAUGCUUGUUGAUGUGGACGUCUGGAACUUGAAUAGAAGACAUUUCUUAUUUCAGAUGCAUCCAUUAGCAGGUCUUAGCCAGGAGCCAGGCCCUUGCAAGUAUAUAUUGCAAGUAAUUGAUGACAUUGGAGCCAGAAAUCGAAUGAACCGGGCCCAGUUCAAUCCACUUACUGGACAAGCUCCUCAAGCACUCUAAGCCCCAAUUUCCUCCUCUGUAAAGUGGGCAUAAAUUACAUUUACCUUGAGGGUUGCUGUGAAGGCUAGAAAUAAUAUAUGUAAUGUCCCCUGAUACACAGAAGGUGCUCAAGAAAUAGUAAGCUCUUCUAAUGAUUGUUAUUGAUGGCAAAGAUGAUGAAAAAACAAAUGCUCUGACUUCUCAAAGGAGAGAGAAUCAUCCCUGAGGAUUGUGUCUUGGAGAACAUAAAUCCAUAUUUUCUCUUUCCUGAACAAAUUCCCUCUGGAAGGGCACAAAGGGAACAAAUUCCCUUGUUAGGAAGGAAGGAAGGGAAGGAAGGAUGGAAAACAAGAGCAAGGAAGGGUUGGCAGGUUGUGACUGUCUACCUCUCCCUGAGGCUUGCUCUGCU